rnacentral:rRNA from 1 species
ACGUGAUCUGAGUUCAGACCGGAGCAAUCCAGGUCAGUUUCUAUCUAUAAUGGAACUUUUUCUAGUACGAAAGGACCGAAAAAGCAUGGCCAAUAUUUCAUGCAAGCCAUAAAUACUAAUCUAUGACUUAUCCUCAAUAAAUAAUUAAUCCACUACUUUACUCAAAAAAAGAGU